UCCUGCAUGGAAAGGCCCCAUCAGCCCGGCCCGGCCCAGGGGGAGCGGGAGAUCCUGCUUGGAAAGGCCCCGUCAGUCCAGCGGGUUCUGCCGCCCCCUGAGGGAAGCGCCCCUGCCCUGAGGCGCUUCCCGCCCGCCCUCACGGCCCGAGGCGGUCAGCGCAGACUCAAUUUCUUUCUGCUCAGUCUGAUGAGUGAAUUGCCUAGCCAUGGUGUAAAGUCACUGAGAGGACAAAGACCUUGAUUCAUCUUCCUUGGAGACACAUCCUUCACCCCUCAGCUUUGACCUCUUGUCUGAAAGCUUGUCAGUUCAGGAUUAAUAGUAAGCAAGACUUGGUUUUAUGUUGGAAAUUAACCUUGAGUUACUAAUUGGUCUCCAUUUCAAACAAUUCCUUUGUUAGGAAUGAACCUGUGCUGUGAUCCCAGUAAGUGACAGGUAAAAACAAGCAGACACAUCUUGAAAUACCACAAAGCUGACCUAGUAGGAGAGCUCCCUUUUAAGACAGCUUCCCCAAAAAGGGUUAAUGGCAGAUUUAAUUAUUUUCCUAACUACAGCCAAAAAGACAAUUCAAACCGGGUGCAGCCAAUGACAGUUACUAUGGCAGAAGAGGGCUGCAGGUGGAAAGACUGGAGUGCCUUUUCAGUUCUGGACUUGGAAAGUUCUAAGUACAACAUGGAAGAGAGAGGGUCAGGAGGAUGGUCUUUCAACACAAGUCAGAAAUCACAGAAGACGUUGGACUUUAUUUUUUCUCACUAUUCCUUCACUUCAGGAGGGAGAGUACCCUUGAGUCAGGGAGAAGCCAAAUGGAGAGCAGGCUGGACAGGCUCUAGACCAGUGAAAAAUGGCUCAAGGAAUUCCCUUUAAAUGUGCAGAAGGUCUGCUGCUUUUUCACUUACGUCAUUAAGGAGACAGAAGCCCUCCUUUUCAUCAGUUGCACUGAAGACCUCAGAAGAGCUUUUAUUUUGUUGUCAUUUUCCUGUCUGAAUCCUGAUCUAGAAAAGUUCUGUCCCAGUCCAAAGGUCCUGGUUUACCUCUCUGCUAUGCUCUGCUACUGUAGGAUGGAAGAUCCUGCUCCUUUCCCAGAGGUAUUCCAGCUGGAUUCGUUUUACUUUUGCUUUUUGUUUUUGUGGUUGGUUGAUUUUUAAACAGAUUGUAGAGAAAAGAGGGACUUCCAGCUUGGUUCUGUACUCUUGACUGAGGUGUGUCUGAUCCGGUACUGGACCUUUCCAUCAAGAAAAUAUGGCCUGUGGUGCUGGACUCUGCUCUGACUGUGCUCUGUCUGGCUUUUAGCAGAAAGCAGAGGUACUGGCACCAUGUGGAUCAGCCUGGCUCUGCUCGCCCUUCCCCCUUGCCAGCCUGCUAUUUCUGUACUUGAUUGGAAGAAGCUAAAACUGCUGGAUUUUUGCCGGCACUCAAGACAUUCCUCAAGUUCCUAAUCCAGGCUCCAGAUGGUUAAAUCACCCAUCCUGACAUACAGGAACAAAUAAUUAUAGUACAAGAUGUAAACCCCACACCAGCCCCUCACGGUGAGACUCUGGGACAGAGAAGUCGCCUGCAGAGAGCCCCGAUGAACCGGCACGUCUGGUCCCCACGGCGGGCAGGAGGGCAGGGCUGGAAGCGGCUGGAAGGGGCUUCCCGGUGCCGGCCACGGCCGAGCCUCCGCGGGUCGCCCAGUGGGAGGCGGUGCCGGCCAUGGGCAGGGGCCACCUGGCGCUGCUCCCCGCGCCGCUGCCCAGCCCGCAUCCUCGGACGUGCCGCAGCUCCGGG